UACAGAGGUCCCAAGCGUUGUUCGGAUUCACUGGGCGUAAAGGGUGCGUAGGUGGUUAGGUAAGUCUGAUGUGAAAUCUCCGGGCUCAACCCGGAAAUGGCAUUGGAAACUAUUUGACUAGAGGAGUGGAGGGGGGACUGGAAUACUUGGUGUAGCAGUGAAAUGCGUAGAUAUCAAGUGGAACACCAGUGGCGAAGGCGGGUCUCUGGGCCGAUACUGACGCUGAGGAGCGAAAGCGUGGGGAGCGAACAGG
rnacentral:rRNA from 1 species